AUCGAACGCUGGCGGCAGGCUUAACACAUGCAAGUCGAGCGGGGACUUCGGUCCUAGCGGCGAACGGGUGAGGAAUGCUUGGGAAUCUGCCCAGUAGCGGGGGAUAACGUUUCGAAAGGAACGCUAAUACCGCAUACGCCCUACGGGGGAAAGGGGGAGAUCUUCGGACCUCUCACUAUUGGAUGAGCCCAAGUCGGAUUAGCUAGUUGGUGGGGUAAAGGCCUACCAAGGCGACGAUACGUAGCUGGUCUGAGAGGAUGAUCAGCCACACUGGAAAUGAGACACGGUCCAGACUCCUACGGGAGGCAGCAGUGGGGAAUAUUGGACAAUGGGCGAAAGCCUGAUCCAGCCAUGCCGCGUGUGUGAAGAAGGCCUUCGGGUUGUAAAGCACUUUAAGCGAGGAGGAAUGGCUGAGGGUUAAUAACCUUCAGCAGUGACGUUACUCGCAGAAUAAGCACCGGCUAACUCUGUGCCAGCCGCCGCGGUAACAC
rnacentral:rRNA from 1 species